UGGAAAACCACUAGCUAGACCCAUAAGAAGCUCUUGUAUACUAUCGUUAAAAAAGGUGUUAACCACGAGUAAUAAAAAUAUGAGAGAGCAUUAGAAAGCUAGAUUAACAAGAUAGUAGAAAGAACCUUUGGACAGAUACGGAAGAUAAAUUGCAGCUUCAAAAUCAACUUCUCCUGUGAAUUACACCCAAAUGAUAAAGAUGCAGCAAAAUUAUACCCAAUGUGCAUAUAUUGGACCACCUGUGAAUCAUAAUAUAAUGAUGUUAAUGUUUCUUAUAUAUUAGACCACCUGUACUAAAAGUAUUAUUUCAUCAAUUAAGGCACUUUCAACUUCAUUUACAUCCCUUAUAUUAUGAAAAAAAGGUUAGGGUUUAUAGGAUAAAGGAUAGUUCAGGGAGAAAUACUUUAUCUAUAUUUAGCCAAAAAAAACUUUAUCUAUUUUAACUAAAAUAUUACCUCAAUUACAAAUAAUAAAAAACACACAAAAAUCUAUGAAUAAAGUUCAAAAAUUAAAGAGCUAAAUAGAGGAUAUAUAUGAAAUUUUUACCUCAAAUUGAACCAAAUUAAAGAAGAGAAAAGAGUUUGAUUUUCAAAUCAAGAUCAUCUAAUGAAAAGCUUAGAUCUGUUGUAAUACAAACGCAUAUAAAACUCUAUUUGGAAGAGAGAUAGAGAGACAAAAAGUUCAAGAACAGAAGUGAGAAUUAGUUGAGAAACCUGUCACGAACUAGUAAUCUCCUUCAAAAUCAUCUGAUGUUAGGCUGUAGAUUCAUCUCUUCUAUAAAUUCAAUCUCAGCAAAAUAGAGAA
rnacentral:lncRNA from 1 species